rnacentral:rRNA from 1 species
GAUGAACGCUAGCGACAGGCUUAACACAUGCAAGUCGAGGGGCAGCACGGGUAGCAAUACCUGGUGGCGACCGGCGCAAGGGUGCGUAACGCGUGAGCAACAUGCCCUAUACAGGGGGAUAAUCCAGGGAAACUUGGUCUAAUAUCCCAUAGUAUUUAGAGGAGGCAUCUUCUAUAAAUUAAAGCUUCGGUGGUAUAGGAUUGGCUCGCGUGACAUUAGCUAGAUGGUGAGGUAACGGCUCACCAUGGCAAUGAUGUCUAGGGGUUCUGAGAGGAAGGCCCCCCACACUGGGACUGAGACACGGACCAGACUCCUACGGGAGGCAGCAGUAAGGAAUAUUGGUCAAUGGACGCAAGUCUGAACCAGCCAUGCCGCGUGAAGGAAGACGGCCCUACGGGUUGUAAACUUCUUUUGUACGGGAAAAAAUCUCCGGUCGUCGCAUCGGAGCUGAUGGUACCGUAAGAAUUAAGCAUCGGCUAACUCCGUG